rnacentral:rRNA from 1 species
GACGAACGCUGGCGGCGUGCUUAACACAUGCAAGUCGAACGGAAAGGCCUAGCUUGCUGGGUACUCGAGUGGCGAACGGGUGAGUAACACGUGGGUGAUCUGCCCCUGACUUUGGGAUAAGCCUGGGAAACUGGGUCUAAUACCGGAUAUUCAUUUUUCCUCGCAUGGGGAUUUGUGGAAAGCUUUUGCGGUUGGGGAUGGGCCCGCGGCCUAUCAGCUUGUUGGUGGGGUAAUGGCCUACCAAGGCGACGACGGGUAGCCGACCUGAGAGGGUGAUCGGCCACACUGGGACUGAGACACGGCCCAGACUCCUACGGGAGGCAGCAGUGGGGAAUAUUGCACAAUGGGCGCAAGCCUGAUGCAGCGACGCCGCGUGAGGGAUGACGGCCUUCGGGUUGUAAACCUCUUUCAGCUCCGACGAAGCGCAAGUGACGGUACCUGCAGAAGAAGCACCGGCUAACUACG